rnacentral:rRNA from 1 species
UACGUAGGGUGCAAGCGUUGUCCGGAAUUAUUGGGCGUAAAGAGCUCGUAGGCGGUUUGUCGCGUCUGCUGUGAAAACUCGGGGCUUAACUCCGGGCCUGCAGUGGGUACGGGCAGACUAGAGUUCGGUAGGGGAGACUGGAAUUCCUGGCGUAGCGGUGAAAUGCGCAGAUAUCAGGAGGAACACCGGUGGCGAAGGCGGGUCUCUGGGCCGAUACUGACGCUGAGGAGCGAAAGCGUGGGGAGCGAACAGG